UUUUGGACAAUGGGCGAAAGCCUGAUCCAGCAAUGCCGCGUGCAGGAAGAAGGCCUUCGGGUUGUAAACUGCUUUUGUACGGAACGAAACGGUCUGCCCUAAUACGGCGGGCUAAUGACGGUACCGUAAGAAUAAGCACCGGCUAACUACGUGCCAGCAGCCGCGGUAAUACGUAGGGUGCGAGCGUUAAUCGGAAUUACUGGGCGUAAAGCGUGCGCAGGCGGUUAUGUAAGACAGUUGUGAAAUCCCCGGGCUCAACCUGGGAAUUGCAUCGGUGACUGCAUAGCUAGAGUACGGUAGAGGGGGAUGGAAUUCCGCGUGUAGCAGUGAAAUGCGUAGAUAUGCGGAGGAACACCGAUGGCGAAGGCAAUCCCCUGGACCUGUACUGACGCUCAUGCACGAAA
rnacentral:rRNA from 1 species